rnacentral:lncRNA from 1 species
CACUUGAAUGCACUAACUCCCUUGAACCUCUUUCUCUUACUUCUCUCUUGAAUGAUCUUGUGUUGGGUUGGUGAGAAGUUGUUGGAAGGCACUUAAGAGCUCCCUUUUAUAGCCCAAAAAGCAAAUAUAGCCGUUAGACAUAAAGUUAAAGAAGUUUGAAAUUCAAACAAACCUGCAAAAAGUGUGUCAGUCGCGUCCCAGGCGCUCCGGAGACGUCUCCGCUUCAACGCGAGACGUCUCGGCU